UACGUAGGGAGCAAGCGUUGUUCGGAAUUAUUGGGCGUAAAGAGCGCGUAGGCGGUUCGGUAAGUCUGACGUGAAAUCCCAGAGCUUAACUCUGGAACUGCGUUGGAUACUGCCGAGCUUGAGUGUGGGAGAGGAGAGUGGAAUUCCCAGUGUAGAGGUGAAAUUCGUAGAUAUUGGGAGGAACACCCGUGGCGAAGGCGGCUCUCUGGACCACAACUGACGCUGAGGCGCGAAAGCUAGGGUAGCAAACGGG
rnacentral:ncRNA from 2 species